rnacentral:rRNA from 1 species
GACGAACGCUGGCGGCGUGCUUAACACAUGCAAGUCGAACGGAAAGGCCCUGCUUUUGUGGGGUGCUCGAGUGGCGAACGGGUGAGUAACACGGGAGUAACCUGCCCUUGACUUUGGGAUAACUUCAGGAAACUGGGGCUAAUACCGGAUAGGAGCUCCUGCUGCAUGGUGGGGGUUGGAAAGUUUCGGCGGUUGGGGAUGGACUCGCGGCUUAUCAGCUUGUUGGUGGGGUAGUGGCUUACCAAGGCUUUGACGGGUAGCCGGCCUGAGAGGGUGACCGGCCCCCUUGGGACUGCGGUACGGCCCAGUCUCCUACGGUAGGCAGCAGUGGGGAGUAUUGCCCAAUGGGCGGAAGCCUGAUGCAGCAACGCCGCGUGCGGGAUGACGGCCUUCGGGUUGUAAACCGCUUUCGCCUGUGACGAAGCGUGAGUGACGGUAAUGGGUAAAGAAGCACCGGCUAACUACGUG